AUGGAUCAAGCAGGCAAGUGACUGGCUCAAGGGAGAAUUGUCAUGAUGCUCGUAACUUAUUUUCAAAUAGUUCACAGAACAAAAUAUAUACAUAUAAAUACAGAGAAAGCAAAUGUGAUAAAGUGCUGAAUCAAGGUUUCUUUGACAGCAAAAUAUGGAUGUGAGCAAAGUGGACAGAGUGCAUGGGAGAGUAAAGAAAAAGCCCUCAAAAAGGACAUUUCUCCAUCUCUAGAAAACCUUGCCAGUAAAGUGCUUGUGAAAAUUUUGCCUACUUCCUAACUUACCCUUGCUUUCCCCGUCAAUAUCACCCCCAAAAUCUUUUUGAUAUUUAAUAGAGAACAACUUAUAAUUCCCAAAGAUGACCAUCCAUAGAUUUAAAAGAGCCUACUCUUCUAGAGAAAAUAAAGGUCUCUUAUUUACCUUU